GCCUCUGUAGCUCAGUAGGUAGAGCAGGGGACUGAAAAUCCCCGUGUCGAUGGUUCGAUUCCGUCCGGAGGCA
rfam:Ruminococcus sp. YE71 genome assembly, contig: IE40DRAFT_scaffold00005.5